GCCAGCCACUCACCUCUUGCUGUGCAGCCAGUUCCUAACAGAUCAUGCGCUGGUACCUGAAUGAGUGUUUAGAAUCAUCAACGUCUUUAAAGUGGUUAGCAUAUCCAGAACAAACAGUGUGUCCAGCUUCUCUCCUAAGGGCAUGGAGAACACGAAACCACCAGGAGGAACGAACAACUCCAGAUGCACUGCCUUAAGAGCUGUAACAUUCAGUGUGAAGGUUUGCAGCUUUACUUCUGAAGCCAGCUAGACCACAAACCCACCAGAAAGAAGAAACUCCAAACACAUCUGAACAUCAGAAGGAACAAACUCCGGACACGCUGCCUUUAACAACUAUGACACUCACCACGAGGGUCUGCGACUUCAUUCUCGAAGUCAGUGAGACCAAGAACCCACCAAUUCCGGACACACUUAACAGACAUUGUGCUAGGCACUUUAUUCACUUAUCUGUAAUAAGACCGUGAUGUUCACAGGGCACUAUUUACUCAUUGAAUUUUAGAAUUACACUAGAGGUGGAGUUUAACUUCCGUUAGUAAUACAUUAGGCUUAGUAAAUAAUUUAGUGAGCCCCUUGAGAAUGAUCUAAGAUGUGAGCACCUAAUUGUACCAGAUGUAUGGUCAAUAUUAUUUCCUGUUGGAGACUCACGAUGAGAUUACAGAGAAAUUAGAAACUAAUUAAACAUACAGGACCAAAGUUUUCAUUCCCUAGUUCAAACUCACUUGUAAAUUUUACUUUAAGAUGCAGAAAUAAUUUCUUGCUUUGAAGAAUCUGUUUCUCUCUCUUUCCUUCUCUUUCAGUUUCUCUGUUUCCCUCUCUUGUUUCUCUAUUUGCCUCUCUCUCUCCCUGCCGCCCCCACUCUUUAUGUUAUAUGCUAGCAAAAGGAUGACACAAAGAUCGAUGUUCUCUAAAACAGAUAUUGCCUGUUUGAAGAGCUAAGAACAGCCCAAUCAAAAAAUAAACUAACACUGAUUUUUCAAAAAGCCAUACAUAGCAUCAGUGAUGAGGACAUCUUUUUUUUAAUUUGUUUUGUGUUUGAGACAGAGUCUUGCUGUGUCUCCCAGGCUAGAGUGGAGUGGUGCAGUCUUGGCUAACUGUAAGCUCUGCCUCCUGGAUUCGCGCCAUUCUCCUGCCUCAGCCUCCCGUGUAGCUGGGACUACAGGAGCCUGCCACCACACCUGGCUAAUUGUUUGUAUUUUUAGUAGAGAUGGGGUUUCACCGUGUUAGCCAGGAUGGUCUCGAUCUCCUGACAUCGUGAUCUGCCUGCCUCAGCCUCCCAAAGUGCUGGGAUUACAGGCAUGAGUCACUGCACCUGGCCGAAGACAUCUUGUUUUUGUUAUUACGGCUGUUUCAUUCAAGAAACUGAAAGUUAGGACAAGAUUUAUUUCCACGUAUAUAGGUAAGAGCUGCUCAACACAAUCAAUGGAUGUCUACACUAAUUUGAAUGAAAAACGCAGGACUCCAUUUAAAUGGAAAUAUGGUAGUUUAAAAUAAAAAAAGCUGAAGUUUUAAGCAUUCCAAUUCACAAUGUGAAUUGAGUCUUUUUUAUAUAAAAUGAGAUAAUGUAAGCAAGACACUUCUGUUUUAAUUGUUAUUGCUAUUGAGGUUAUCAUC
rnacentral:lncRNA from 1 species